rnacentral:hammerhead_ribozyme from 1 species
CCACUGCUGAGAAGUCGCAGAAUAAGACGAAACGGCCGUUCAGUGC